rnacentral:rRNA from 1 species
UACGUAGGGUGCAAGCGUUAAUCGGAAUUACUGGGCGUAAAGCGUGCGUAGGCGGUUUUUUAAGUUUGUCGUGAAAGCCCCGGGCUCAACCUGGGAAUGGCGAUGAAGACUGCAAGGCUUGAAUCUGGCAGAGGGGGGUAGAAUUCCACGUGUAGCAGUGAAAUGCGUAGAGAUGUGGAGGAACACCGAUGGCGAAGGCAGCCCCCUGGGUCAAGAUUGACGCUCAUGCACGAAAGCGUGGGGAGCAAACAGG